GACGGAGGCCUCGAGCGUUAGGCGGAAUCACUGGGCUUAAAGCGUGUGUAGGCGGGCCCGUAAGUCCCUUGUGAAAUCCCACGGCUCAACCGUGGAACGGCUGGGUAUACUGCGGGUCUUGGGCCAACUAGGGGCAGCCGGAACAAGCGGUGGAGCGGUGAAAUGCGUAGAUAUCUGGAGGAACACCGGUGGCGAAGGCGGCAUCCUGGACCAACACUGACGCUGAUGAGCGAAAGCCAGGGGAGCAAACGGG
rnacentral:rRNA from 1 species